GACAUCACACCUGCAGGAGAGAAGACACUACAAAUAGCAGUGCUGAAAAUAGCAAGCUGGCAACAGAGAAAGAUAACCCUCUCCUUUCUUCAUCACGACCUUCUCUCCUCUACCAUGUUUCCUGCUUGCUGGUUACAGGAGGACACCAUCACGAAGCCAUGGCGUCUAACUUUAUCUUAGUCCUAGACCGUGUCUUCUUCAACCUUCUCAAGCUUCAAUCUUGUGGGGAGGAUGCUAUCUCCCCCUAACCCUGGUGUCCUGGCUCCCCCAGCAGUGGCUUUCAUGAUGUACCUCACUAGGCAGACAGCAUUUAGGGCCGAAGGACCCACAGAGCAUUUGUGCAUGUAUGUGGAUGUAACUAUGGACGUGUGUAACUAUGUUAAAAGAAUCAAUAAAGA